rnacentral:rRNA from 1 species
GAUGAACGCUGGCGGCGUGCUUAACACAUGCAAGUCGAACGGAAAGGCCCAAGCUUGCUUGGGUACUCGAGUGGCGAACGGGUGAGUAACACGUGGGUGAUCUGCCCUGCACUUCGGGAUAAGCCUGGGAAACUGGGUCUAAUACCGGAUAGGACCACAUUUUGGAUGGUGUGGUGGAAAGUUUUUCGGUGUGGGAUGAGCUCGCGGCCUAUCAGCUUGUUGGUGGGGUAAUGGCCUACCAAGGCGUCGACGGGUAGCCGGCCUGAGAGGGUGUACGGCCACAUUGGGACUGAGAUACGGCCCAGACUCCUACGGGAGGGAGCAGUGGGGAAUAUUGCACAAUGGGCGCAAGCCUGAGGCAGCGACGCCGCGUGGGGGAUGACGGCCUUCGGGUUGUAAACUCCUUUCGCUAGGGACGAAGCGUUUUUGUGACGGUACCUGGAGAAGAAGCACCGGCUAACUACGUG